rnacentral:rRNA from 1 species
GUGGGGAAUAUUGGACAAUGGGCGAAAGCCUGAUCCAGCCAUGCCGCGUGUGUGAAGAAGGUCUUCGGAUUGUAAAGCACUUUAAGUUGGGAGGAAGGGUUGUAGUUUAAUACGCUGCAAUCUUGACGUUACCGACAGAAUAAGCACCGGCUAACUCUGUGCCAGCAGCCGCGGUAAUACAGAGGGUGCAAGCGUUAAUCGGAAUUACUGGGCGUAAAGCGCGCGUAGGUGGCUAAGUAAGAUGGGUGUGAAAUCCCCGGGCUCAACCUGGGAACUGCAUCCAUAACUGCUUAGCUAGAGUACGGUAGAGGGUAGUGGAAUUUCCUGUGUAGCGGUGAAAUGCGUAGAUAUAGGAAGGAACACCAGUGGCGAAGGCGACUACCUGGACUGAUACUGACACUGAGGUGCGAAAGCGUGGGGAGCAAACAGG